rnacentral:rRNA from 1 species
CAUAGCGACUAUCGUGGCAUAUCAAUAAGCGGAGGAAAAGAAACUAACUAGGAUUCCCCUCAGUAACGGCGAGUGAAGCGGGAAGAGCUCAAAUUUGAAAUCUUCAAGGGUUCUACCUUUACGAAUUGUAGUUUAAAGAAGUGUUUUCUGUUGGAGUUUUGGUAAAAGUUCUUUGGAAUAGGACAUCAUAGAGGGUGAGAAUCCCGUAUUUGACCAGUUACUUUCCAGCUGUGUGAUACACUUUCAAAGAGUCGGAUUGUUUGGGAAUGCAGUCCAAAAUGGGUGGUAAAUUUCAUCUAAAGCUAAAUAUUGGCGAGAGACCGAUAGCGAACAAGUACCGUGAGGGAAAGAUGAAAAGAACUUUGAAAAGAGAGUUAAACAGUACGUGAAAUUGUCAAAAGGGAAGCGUUUGACACCAGUGUUGUUUUUCCGAAAAUCAAUUACGAAUGUUUUGUUUUUGAGGAGUUAUGACUUCAUCGGCUUGCUCCUUUCUUUAUGAAACUUUCUUAAUGCACUUUUCGGUUAACAAGUCAACAUCAAUUUCUUUUGUUGUAAAAGGGUAUGAGGAAGGUGGCUUUCUUUUCGGAGAAAGUGUUUAUAGCCUUUGACCUCUGCAGUCGGAGAGAUUGAGGUACUGCAGCGUAGACUCCUUCGGGGUUAGAUACACUUGUGCUAAGCUAUAGCCUUGUAUAGACAACUUGUUGACUAUGCUCAGUCAUGUAGCUUACUCGCUUAUGCUAUUUUACCUACGCUUAGGAUGUUGAUAUGCAUGACUGAUAU